rnacentral:tRNA from 1 species
AGGUAGGUCUCUAUGGAAGAGGAAGUUAGCCGAUAACUAGUUUUUAUUGGUUCGACCCCAAUCCUGUCUU